rnacentral:rRNA from 1 species
CCCUUAGAUGUCCUGGGCCGCACGCGCGCUACACUGACAUGUUCAACAAGUUUCUCCUGGUUCGACAGGACUGGGAAAUCUUUGAACGCAUGUCGUGAUAGGGAUAGAUCAUUGCAAUUAUUGAUCUUGAACGAGGAAUUCCUAGUAAACGCGAGUCAUCAGCUCGCAUUGAUUACGUCCCUGCCCUUUGUACACACCGCCCGUCGCACCUACCGAUUGAAUGUUUCGGUGAAGAUUCCGGAUAGGACUGAUUUGAUUUAUUUCAUUUCUGACCUAAAAGCUAUCUAAACCUCAACAUUUAGAGGAAGGUGAAGUCGUAACA